rnacentral:rRNA from 1 species
CGUGCGGGGUGCUUACCAUGCAAGUCGAACGGAGAUUCAGCAAUGGAUCUUAGUGGCGAACGGGUGAGUAACGCGUAGGCAAUCUGCCUUCUAGAUGGGGGCAACAUCCCGAAAGGGGUGCUAAUACCGAAUGUUGUACCGUUUCCGCAUGGAGAUGAUACUAAAGGUGGCCUCUGAAUAUGCUACCGCUAGAAGAUGAGCCUGCGUCUGAUUAGCUAGUUGGAGGGGUAACGGCCCACCAAGGCUUCGAUCAGUAGCCGGUCUGAGAGGAUGAACGGCCACACUGGGACUGAGACACGGCCCAGACUCCUACGGGAGGCAGCAGUGGGGAAUCUUCCGCAAUGGACGAAAGUCUGACGGAGCAACGCCGCGUGAGUGAAGAAGGUUUUCGGAUCGUAAAGCUCUUUCGUUAGGGACGAACGUGCUCUUUGUGAAUAAUGAGGAGUAAUGACGGUACCUAAAUAAGAAGCCACGGCUAACUACGUGCCAGCAGCCGCGGUAAUACGUAGGUGGCAAGCGUUGUCCGGAAUUAUUGGGCGUAAAGCGCGCGCAGGCGGGAUAUCAAGUCUGUCUUAAAAGUCCGAGGCUCAACCUCGUGAGGGGACGGAAACUGGUAUUCUUGAGUGUCGGAGAGGAAAGUGGAAUUCCAAGUGUAGCGGUGAAAUGCGUAGAGAUUUGGAAGAACACCAGUGGCGAAGGCGACUUUCUGGGACGAUGUCUGACGCUGAGGCGCGAAAGCUAGGGGAGCGAACGGGAUUAGAUACCCCGGUAGUCCUAGCCGUAAACGAUGGGUACUAGGUGUAGGGGGGUAUCGACCCCU